UCACCGCCCCUCACCGCCACUCCUCCCUCACCGGCGAUCUUCCCUCACCGCCGAUUUCAAAGGAUGGUGAUGGAGAUCGAUGACUGAGAUCGAUGCCAAAGAACUACGACAGCAAAAAAUGAGGCAAAGCUUCUAAUUUUUUGGAAAAUACGGAGUCUUUGUCUGAUAAGGAGAAGACCUUGUUAUCCCUAGCAAAGAUGGGGUAUACGGUGGAAGAGGCGUCAAUAGCUAUGGAUAGAUGUGGUGCAUAUUUGAUAAUAUGUUUGUUUUAUGCUAUUUUUGGUUUUGAUAUUGUUUGUUCCGGAGAUCAUUCAGGUUUUUGGAUUUAUAUUCUGCCACACGUAUCUUUCCAUGUAUGUUUUGUUCUGUCCAUUAUCUGUCAACAUGUGAAUAGUUGGUUGUGGUUUCUUUUUGUUUUGGUUGUUAAAUUUUGUUGUCAUAAUCUGCAUUCCAUUUCCUCAUGGGACUUGCUACUUACACUGCA